rnacentral:rRNA from 1 species
CCCCUAGAUGUUCUGGGCCGCACGCGCGCUACACUGAACAGUUCAACAAGUCUUAACCUUGGCCGAUAGGUCUGGGUAAUCUUUGAACGCUGUUCGUGAUUGGGAUAGACCUUUGCAAUUAUGGGUCUUCAACGAGGAAUUCCUAGUAAACGCAAGUCAUCAGCUUGCAUUGAUUACGUCCCUGCCCUUUGUACACACCGCCCGUCGCACCUACCGAUUGAAUGGUCCGGUGAAAUUUCGGGACGGCGGCUUGGUCGCUUGCGUCCGACUGCUGAAACUUGAUUAAACCAUAUCAUUUAGAGGAAGGUGAAGUCGUANCA